AUCUUUAAGUGUGUAAUUUAAAGUAAAACCUGCUCAAUGUAUUUAGUAAUAAAUGGCCGCAGUACUCUGUGCUAAGGUAGCAUAAUCAUUAGCUUUCUAAUUAAAAGAUAGAAUGAAUGGUUAAACGAGACACUUACUGUUUCACAAUUAAAUAAUAAAAUUAAACAAAUAGUAAAAAUACUAUUACUUUAAAGAAAGACGAUAAGACCCUGUAAACUCAUUAAUUGGCUGGGGUGGCAUAAUAAAAAAACCUUAAAAGUAUUAUCAUACAAAACAAACAAAGUUUAUUAAGAAGAAGUUACUACAGGGAUAACAGCGCUACUUUUUUCUAAAGCUCUGAUAAAAAAAAUUACUACGACCUCGAUGUUGAAUUAUACACCUCUAAAUUAGACGAAAAAGUCAUAAAAGGUAGUCUGUUCGACUAUUAAAAAUUU
rnacentral:rRNA from 1 species